UCCUGGUUUCCCAGGCAGUCUCAUCAGAGUGCUUUACUUAAAAGUAGCAACUGACGAUAGGAGUUGCGCUCGUUAGAGGACUUAACCGAACGUCUCACGACACGAGCUGACGACAGCCAUGCAGCACCUGUGCAAAAGUCUGAACCGAAGUCCAGAAAACUGUAUUUCUACAGCGGUCUUAAGCAUGUCAAACCUAGGUAAGGUUCCUCGCGUAGUGUCGAAUUAAACCACAUGUUCCACCGCUUGUGCGGACCCCCGUCAAUUUCUUUAAGUUUUAGUCUUGCGACCGUAAUCCCCAGGCGGAUCACUUAACGCGUUAGCUACGACACCAAUCCUGUAAAAACAAGACUGACGUCUAGUGAUCAUCGUUUACAGCGUGGACUAC
rnacentral:misc_RNA from 1 species